GAUGAAGAACGUAGCGAAAUGCGAUAAGUAGUGUGAAUUGCAGAAUUCAGUGAAUCAUCGAAUCUUUGAACGCACAUUGCGCCCCUUGGUAUUCCAUGGGGCAUGCCUGUUCGAGCGUCAUUUGUACCUUCAAGCUUUGCUUGGUGUUGGGUGUUUGUCUCGCCUCCGCGUGUAGACUCGCCUCAAAACAAUUGGCAGCCGGCGUAUUGAUCUCGGAGCGCAGUACAUCUCGCGCUUUGCACUCACAACGACGACGUCCAAAAGUACAUUUUUACACUCUUGACCUCGGAUCAGGUAGGGAUACCCGCUGAACUUAAGCAUAUCAAUAAGCGGAGGA
rnacentral:misc_RNA from 1 species